rnacentral:rRNA from 1 species
CCUACGGGAGGCAGCAGUGGGGAAUAUUGGACAAUGGGCGCAAGCCUGAUCCAGCCAUACCGCGUGGGUGAAGAAGGCCUUCGGGUUGUAAAGCCCUUUUGUUGGGAAAGAAAAGCAGUCGAUUAAUACUCGGUUGUUCUGACGGUACCCAAAGAAUAAGCACCGGCUAACUUCGUGCCAGCAGCCGCGGUAAUACGAAGGGUGCAAGCGUUACUCGGAAUUACUGGGCGUAAAGCGUGCGUAGGUGGUUGUUUAAGUCUGUUGUGAAAGCCCUGGGCUCAACCUGGGAAUUGCAGUGGAAACUGGACGACUAGAGUGUGGUAGAGGGUAGUGGAAUUCCCGGUGUAGCAGUGAAAUGCGUAGAGAUCGGGAGGAACAUCCAUGGCGAAGGCAGCUACCUGAACCAACACUGACACUGAGGCACGAAAGCGUGGGGAGCAAACAGGAUUAGAUACCCUGGUAGUCCACGCCCUAAACGAUGCGAACUGGAUGUUGGGUGCAAUUUGGCACGCAGUAUCGAAGCUAACGCGUUAAGUUCGCCGCCUGGGGAGUACGGUCGCAAGCUGAACUCAAGGAUUGACGGCNGAGACGUGCGACGGACGACGACGAGGGAGAGG